rnacentral:rRNA from 1 species
CCGGAGAAUGUUAUCACGGGAGACACACGGCGGGUGCUAACGUCCGUCGUGAAGAGGGAAACAACCCAGACCGCCAGCUAAGGUCCCAAAGUCAUGGUUAAGUGGGAAACGAUGUGGGAAGGCCCAGACAGCCAGGAUGUUGGCUUAGAAGCAGCCAUCAUUUAAAGAAAGCGUAAUAGCUCACUGGUCGAGUCGGCCUGCGCGGAAGAUGUAACGGGGCUAAACCAUGCACCGAAGCUGCGGCAGCGAACGUAUCACUUAAAGCGAUUCAGCGGGUUACGAUUGACGGAGCGAAGCGACGUCAAAGCGUAUACAAAGUCGAGUCGGUUUAAGGAUACGUUCGUUGGGUAGGGGAGCGUUCUGUAAGCCUGUGAAGGUGGCCUGUGAGGGUUGCUGGAGGUAUCAGAAGUGCGAAUGCUGACAUAAGUAACGAUAAAGCGGGUGAAAAGCCCGCUCGCCGGAAGACCAAGGGUUCCUGUCCAACGUUAAUCGGGGCAGGGUGAGUCGACCCCUAAGGCGAGGCCGAAAGGCGUAGUCGAUGGGAAACGGGUUAAUAUUCCCGUACUUGGUGUUACUGCGAAGGGGGGACGGAGAAGGCUAUGUUGGCCGGGCGACGGUUGUCCCGGUUUAAGCGUGUAGGUGUGUGUUCCAGGUAAAUCCGGUUCACUUUAACACUGAGGCGUGAYGACGAGGCACUACGGUGCUGAAGCAACAAAUGCCCUGCUUCCAGGAAAAGCCUCUAAGCAUCAGGUAACA